GCACCCGUAGCUCAGCGGAUUAGAGCACUUGGCUUCGAACCAAGGGGUCGCAAGUUCGAAUCUUGCCGGGUGUACCA
rnacentral:tRNA from 1 species